rnacentral:rRNA from 1 species
AGAGUUUGAUCCUGGCUCAGAAUCAACGCUGGCGGCGUGCCUAACACAUGCAAGUCGCACGAGAAAGGGUAGCAAUACCUGAGUACAGUGGCGCACGGGUGAGUAACACGUGAAUAAUCUACCUCCGAGUGGGGAAUAACUUAGGGAAACCUGAGCUAAUACCGCAUAACACUUACGAGUCAAAGCAGCAAUGCGCUUGGAGAGGAGUUCGCGGCAGAUUAGUUAGUUGGCGGGGUAAUGGCCCACCAAGACGACGAUCUGUAUCCGGCCUGAGAGGGCGCACGGACACACUGGAACUGAAACACGGUCCAGACUCCUACGGGAGGCAGCAGUGGGGAAUUUUGCGCAAUGGGGGAAACCCUGACGCAGCAACGCCGCGUGGAGGAUGAAAUCCCUUGGGAUGUAAACUCCUUUCGAUCGGGACGAUUAUGACGGUACCGGAAGAAGAAGCCCCGGCUAACUUCGUGCCAGCAGCCGCGGUAAUACGAGGGGGGCGAGCGUUGUUCGGAAUUAUUGGGCGUAAAGGGUGCGUAGGCGGUUUGAUAAGUCUGAUGUGAAAUCUAUGGGCUCAACCCAUAGUCUGCAUUAGAAACUGUCGGGCUUGAGUAUGGGAGAGGUGAGUGGAAUUUCCGGUGUAGCGGUGAAAUGCGUAGAUAUCGGAAGGAACACCUGUGGCGAAAGCGGCUCACUGGACCAUUACUGACGCUGAUGCACGAAAGCUAGGGGAGCAAACAGGAUUAGAUACCCUUGUAGUCC